rnacentral:SRP_RNA from 1 species
CCGUGCAGCCGGGGAGAUAGCGGUGCCCUGUACCUGCAAUCCGCUACAGCAGGGGUGAUAUUCUGCCUAGGGUGACUUACUGUGAGGCUGCCCUUUAUAAGUGAUGUUGACGUCUGGGUCUUACGCAACAGGAAUUCGUGAACCGUGUCAGGUCAGGAAUGAAGCAGCACUAAGCGAAAGCUUCUGUGUGCCGUAAGGUCACCUGGAUCGAGUUAACUGUAAAGGUAACGCUUGUGGUAAGCAUUCGAAGCAGAAUGCACGG